rnacentral:rRNA from 1 species
UACAGAGGGGCAAGCGUUAUUCGGAAUUAUUGGGCGUAAAGGGCGCGUAGGCGGCUUUGCAAGUGACGGGUGAAAGCCCUCGGCUUAACCGAGGAACUGCCUGUCAGACUGUGAGGCUUGAGACCGGGAGAGGUGAGUGGAAUUCCCAGUGUAGCGGUGAAAUGCGUAGAUAUUGGGAGGAACACCAGUGGCGAAGGCGACUACCUGGACCAGCACUGACACUGAGGCACGAAAGCGUGGGGAGCAAACAGG